rnacentral:rRNA from 1 species
AGUGAACGCUGGCGGUAGGCCUAACACAUGCAAGUCGAACGGCAGCACAGUAAGAGCUUGCUCUUACGGGUGGCGAGUGGCGGACGGGUGAGGAAUACAUCGGAAUCUACUUUUUCGUGGGGGAUAACGUAGGGAAACUUACGCUAAUACCGCAUACGACCUACGGGUGAAAGCAGGGGAUCUUCGGACCUUGCGCGAUUGAAUGAGCCGAUGUCGGAUUAGCUAGUUGGCGGGGUAAAGGCCCACCAAGGCGACGAUCCGUAGCUGGUCUGAGAGGAUGGUCAGCCACACUGGAACUGAGACACGGUCCAGACUCCUACGGGAGGCAGCAGUGGGGAAUAUUGGACAAUGGGCGCAAGCCUGAUCCAGCCAUACCGCGUGGGUGAAGAAGGCCUUCGGGUUGUAAAGCCCUUUUGUUGGGAGAGAAAAGCAGCAGGUUAAUACCCCGCUGUUCUGACGGUACCCAAAGAAUAAGCACCGGCUAACUUCGUG